GAUGAACGCUGGCGGCGUGCCUAAUACAUGCAAGUCGAGCGAACGGACGAGACGCUUGCUUUUCUGAUGUUAGCGGCGGACGGGAGAGUAACACGUGGAUCACCUCCCUAUAAGACUGGGAUCACUUCGGGAAACCGGAGCUAAUCCCGGAUAAUAUUUUGAACCGCAUGGUUCAAAAGUGAAAGACGGUCUUGCUGUCACUUAUAGAUGGAUCCGCGCUGCAUUAGCUAGUUGGUAAGGUAACGGCUUAUCAAGGCAACGAUGCCUAGCCGACCUGUGAGAGGGGUCGGCGACACGGGAGGGGGGACGCGGUCCUUGCGACUACGGGAGGCAGCAGUAGGGAAUGUGACGCAGUGGUCGAAAGCCUGACGGAACAACGCGGCGUGAGUGAUGGAAGUCUUCGGAGCGGAAAACUCGGUUAUGAGGGAUGAACAUAUGUGUAAGGAACUGAGCACAGCGUGACGGUACCGGAUCAGAAAGCCACGGCUAACUACGUG
rnacentral:rRNA from 1 species